AAGCGGCUGUGGAGUGUAUAGAAGUGAGAAUGCCGGAAUGAGUAGCGCGAAUGCAGUGAGAAUCUGCAUGGCCGAAAGCCUCAGGUUUUUGGAGGAAGGUUCGUCCGCUCCAAGUUAGUCGGGAGCUAAGGUGAGGCCGGAAGGCGUAGCCGAUGCACAGACGGUAGAGAUUCCGUCACCACCAAAAGAGUUAAGCACAGGGACACAUUUGAAGUCUCAGAGCCGGGUGUUGGUUCCGGUAGAGAUCGAGGGAAAUUAGUACCGAAGUCUGGGAUGGAAGAUGGCGAGAAAAGCUGUGUGUAUUUCUGAGGUGCCCGUACCGCAAACCGACACAGGUAGGUAGGAAGAAGAUUCUAAGGCCAACGGGAGAAGGGUUGUUAAGGAACUCGGCAAAUUGACCCCGUAACUUCGGGAGAAGGGGUGCUCCAGAGAUGGAGCCGCAGAGAAUCGGCCCAAGCAACUGUUUACCAAAAACACAGGUUUGUGCUAAAUCGAAAGAUGACGUAUACGAGCUGACGCCUGCCCGGUGCUGGAAGGUUAAGAGGAGAUGUGCAAGCAUUGAAUCGAAGCCCCAGUGAACGGCGGCCGUAACUAUAACGGUCCUAAGGUAGCGAAAUUCCUUGUCAGGUAAGUUCUGACCCGCAUGAAAGGCGUAAUGAUUUGGGCACUGUCUCAACAGCCCGCCCGGCGAAAUUGUAGUACCGGUGAAGAUGCCGGUUACCCGCGACAAGACGGAAAGACCCCAUGGAGCUUUACUGUAGCCUAAUAUUGGGUUUCGAUGUUGCAUGCACAGGAUAGAUGGGACACUGGGAAACAAUCGCUUUGGCGGUUGCGGAGUGGCCGUUGGGAUACCAUCCUUGCGAUAUUGGAAUUCUAACCUGCGGCUCUGAAUCGAGUCGGGGGACAUUGUUAGGUGGGCAGUUUGACUGGGGCGGUCGCCUCCUAAAGAGUAACGGAGGCGUUCAAAGGUUCGCUCAGCUUGAACGGAAAUCAAGCAAAAGAGUGCAAACGCAGAAGCGAGCCUAACUGCGAGACUGACGGGUCGAGCAGUAACGAAAGUUGGAGUUAGUGAUCCGGUGGUAUGUGAGUGGAAAUGCCAUCGCUCAACGGAUAAAAGUUACCCUGGGGAUAACAGGCUGAUCUCCCCCAAGAGUCCACAUCGACGGGGAGGUUUGGCACCUCGAUGUCGGCUCAUCGCAUCCUGGGGCUGUAUUCGGUCCCAAGGGUUUGGCUGUUCGCCAAUUAAAGCGGUACGCGAGCUGGGUUCAGAACGUCGUGAGACAGUUCGGUCCCUAUCUGUCGUGGGCGCAGGAUAUUUGAUGGGAGCUGUUCCUAGUACGAGAGGACCGGAGCGGACGUACCUCUGGCGCACCAGUUGUUCUGCCAAGGGCAUAGCUGGGCAACUAUGUACGGAUCGGAUAAACGCUGAAAGCAUCUAAGCGUGAAGCCGACCCAAAGAUAAGAUAUCCCAUUGUUUCAAACAAGUAAGACCCCUUGAAGACUACAAGGUUGAUAGGCACGAUGUGUAAGUGGAGUGAUCCAUUCAGCAAGCGUGUACUAAUAGGUCGAGGGCUUGACCA
rnacentral:rRNA from 1 species